ensembl:lincRNA
GUACUAUUUAAGAAAACACAGCUGGUAGGCAUAAUAUUUAAAUAUUGCCCCGACAUGAUGCCCGGCAGCUGCUGCUGCAUAACAUUUGAAGUGCAUAAUAGUCAAAGUUAGAGCCGUCUCCAGGGAAGUGUUCAGAGAGAGUGAACUGAAACUUGUUCUCUAGUCUUUUCUCCCGGAUGGGAAGCAAUGACGUCGGGAGAGAGCGCGGAGGAAGGGAGAGAUCCAGAAAGGUAGAUUCUUCUGUGUAGGCAGUUCUCUUUGCAAUGAAGCAGUACCUCCAUGAAUACAAAAUGAUUUAUGGAUAAACUAGAACCAUAGCUUUUCUGCUCUUCUUCUGACCUUUUAGAGUCAAAAGCAAAAUCCAAUAUCACAGACGACAAAUUUUUAUAGGAUCACGGCAUGACCUGGAAUUACUUUCAUUGCACGGAAGAAAUUCUGUCCUGGAAGGUCCUAGCAGAUUUCUCGUUACAUAUCACUGCCCAGAAUGAGAUACCAAGCCUCCUACCAAAGUAUGCUUCAACAACGGUCCACGGAAGGGGAGGGCAGGCUUGUGACAGGUUGAGACAAUCACGAAUAAUUCCUUGGAGCUGGGCCCCUUCCCUGAGCAUGUUGGCAUCUCAACAAAAUUGGAUAUCUGUUAACAAGGAAGAUUGGGAUGGGGUGGAGGUGACUGCUGGGCAUAACAAAUAUUAUUUUCUAGCCAAAGAGCAUAGAUAAAGAGUGUGAAUGGAGGAAACAGCUCAUCAAAAAAAUACGUGGAUACACGGGCUAUUUUUUUAAAAUUAUUUUAGGGCAUGUUAUGCAACAAAAAUGUAUUUUGACUUGUAUUUCAGAAAUGAAAAAUUAAAUUGUUGAAAGCAAAAAAGAAUAUGGAUGGAUACAGUAAAUUGUUUCUGACUAUUUUACAUACUGGGUGCAAAUGCGAAGAUAUGAUUAAUUAGGUAACAUAAUGGUUUUGCUAGUUUGAUAGGGAUGGCUUUAAAUAAUUAUUUUCUGCUCUAUUUGGGAUUAAAUGUAUUGCUCCUCCUCUGGUUUUAAAGCAUUAACCUCUCUUAGAAUAUCUCAAUUUGGUAUCAUCAGGUGGAACGUAUCUUCUUGGGUAAAAUUAUUUUGCAGAUGCUCAGUGUACAAACUGGAAGUAUACGAGGAAAAAAACAAGGCUCAGAGGAAUUUUUGAUAGCAUUUGCCUAAUCAUGCAAGCUGAAAUUGGUUUACCUUUAAUGCAUGAAUUCUCUCAUGUUGAGGGAAAUUAAGAGAAUUCUUGCACUUUAAGAGGGCUGGGCUGUUAAAUCCUCAAAACCACUUUUCACUUGUAGAAAACUCAGUAAAAUUUUCUAUGUGAGUCUCAAAACUGAAAAAAUCCCCACAGCAUAGUCAGAAACAUGCAUUUAUUACAUUUUGUGAAAAGGCUGUAUUAAGCAUUGGGUUACAUUGCAUAUUUUAUUUUUGUUUAUUUAUUUAUUUAGAGAAAGGAUCUUGCCGUGUCACCCAGGCUGGAGUGCACAGUCAUAGCUCACUGUGACCUUGAAAUCCUGGCACAGUCAUAGCUCACUAUAAUCUUGAACUCCUGGACUUAAGCAAUCCUCCCAUUUGUGCCUCCCAAGUAGCUGGGACCACAGGUGAGUGCCACUACACCCUAAUAAUUUUUGUAACUUUUGUAGACAGGGGUCCCUCUAUGUUGCCCAGGCUGGUCUCGAACUCCAGGCCUCAAAUGAUCCUCCUGCCUCAGCCUCCCAUUUUUUAUUUUAAAAAUAAAAUCUCAGAUAGAUUGACAACAUUGCAUAGUUGCUGAAAGCAUAGCCUUUGGAGCCAGACUGUCUGGGUUUCUAUCCUUGCUCAGCUACUAACUAGUUUUGAGACUUUGAGGGGGUUAUAUCUCAGCUUUCUCAAACACAAAAAGGGAAGAUUUACCUAUGUCAUGGGAUUAUUCUGAGGAUUAAGUUGUUUUUAAUUUCUUCAAGUAUCACUUGGCACACAGUAAUAUUCAGGUUUUAAAAAUACAAAUAUGCCUUGAAUUAUCAUUGCAUGCUUUCUUAUUAAAUAUAUUAGGAGAAUCAAAAUAUUUUUUCUGAAAAAAUUCUCUAAAUAUUGCAUUCCUGUGGCAUGUAACAUUUUCUGUUAUUUUUUUCACGGAUACACGCAUGUAUGGAAUAAAUUAUUCAAUAUAUUUCUAAUGAGUAUCUAUAUUGCAUUAUUCUUUCUAGAUGCAAGCUUAUUGAGAGUAGCGAGAACUUCUUAACAGUUGGGCAGACAACGUAUUGUACCACUUUAUGAAGCUGAUGAUAUUAGGGAAUUAAUAUGUUCCAUAAUGUGCAAGGAGAAGUUCAAAUUGUCAAAAUCACUGCCAAUGUCAACAGGUCUAGACUAAUGAAAAUUAUAGCUGGCAAAAUUAGUGACCCUAGGAACAAACUUUAACAUUUAUACACUUCUACUGGGCUAUAACGUGUAUACCCUAAUACUUUUGCUAACUGUCCAUUAGUACUUUAAUAUAAAGGACAAGCUUUUAAGGAUUACUGAUGGUAGGCCAUAUAUCUAUUUGGACAUAUUUAUAAGAUAUAUAUGGUCUUUCAGGGCCAUGUAUCUCAUAAAAGCAAAAAAAAAGAUCAUAAGCUAAAUAUAACUAAAGGAAAUAAAACUAAAAACCGUUAAUAGACCUAUGUGAACGGCUGAAGGAUGGCAAUCUGCAGAAUGAAAUAAUUUUCCAUGGAGAUGGGUUAGGUCCUGAAUGUCAGAUUUGGAUGAGUGGAUGCAAUGGCGAGGAGAAUACCAAGGACAUUCCAGGGCAGGAGGGGAACCCUAGCCAAGGUCUCAUAUGGGGCUUGUCAUUGUUCUUAUGGGAUUGACCUGGAUACUGGUAUUAAAGGAACUGCCCUGAUUGAAGUAUAUACAACAUGUUUUCCCCCCUGAUUUUUUUUUCUGAUUUUAGAGACUGAGCGUAUAUUUCAGAGUGUUUUUUUGCUAUACAUAAUCACAUUCUAAUAUAAGAAGAGUAUUCAGAAAGUUCUUAAAUAGACCUAUUUCAUCUUGUUCUUGUUUGGUGUAGGAGUAUAUUGAAUAUAUAUACAUAUAUGUAUUUGAAGGAUGAGGAUAUUUGCUUGGCUUAGGUGGCCAUGAAGUUCUCAAGCUUGUGGUUUGCAGCCCAGCCUAAAGCAUUGGAUACAUUCCUUUACAGACCAGAUUCCCUCAUCCAUCUUUGCUGCCAUCCACAGUGAGGUGAUGUUGAUGGCUAAGUUAGUAUGUUUCUAGCAAAGUUAUAAUGUUGAAAACUUGUGUCUUAAAAAGGUAUAAGAAGAGCCUUUAGGGAAAUGCCUUAAUAGUUUUGUUCCCAUCAAAGAAAGGUAAAUAACUCAACAAAAGGGGAAGCAAAUAAUCCAAUGUAUAAAUCAUAAACACAUAAUUAAAAGUCAGACUAUACAUAUAUAUGUGUGUGUAUGUAUAUACAUAUAUACGUGUGUGUAUAUAUAUACAUAUAUACGUAUGUGUAUAUAUACAUAUAUACAUACA